rnacentral:rRNA from 1 species
AUUGAACGCUGGCGGCAGGCUUAACACAUGCAAGUCGAGCGGGGUGAUGGUGCUUGCACUAUCACUUAGCGGCGGACGGGUGAGUAAUGCUUAGGAAUCUGCCUAUUAGUGGGGGACAACAUCUCGAAAGGGAUGCUAAUACCGCAUACGUCCUACGGGAGAAAGCAGGGGAUCACUUGUGACCUUGCGCUAAUAGAUGAGCCUAAGUCGGAUUAGCUAGUUGGUGGGGUAAAGGCCUACCAAGGCGACGAUCUGUAGCGGGUCUGAGAGGAUGAUCCGCCACACGGGGACUGAGACACGGCCCAGACUCCUACGGGAGGCAGCAGUGGGGAAUAUUGGACAAUGGGGGGAACCCUGAUCCAGCCAUGCCGCGUGUGAAGAAGGCCUUAUGGUUGUAAAGCACUUUAAGCGAGGAGGAGGCUCUUUUGGUUAAUACCCAAGAUGAGUGGACGUUACUCGCAGAAUAAGCACCGGCUAACCCUGUGCCAGCAGCCGCCGUAA